AGGUCCUCAAUAAGUAUUUGUUGAAAGAAUAAAUGAACCAACAAGUCUUAUUUGAGCACCUGU
rnacentral:pre_miRNA from 2 species